GAUGAAGAACGUAGCGAAAUGCGAUAAGUAGUGUGAAUUGCAGAAUUCAGUGAAUCAUCGAAUCUUUGAACGCACAUUGCGCCCCUUGGUAUUCCAUGGGGCAUGCCUGUUCGAGCGUCAUUUGUACCUUCAAGCUUUGCUUGGUGUUGGGUGUUUGUCCCUCGGGACUCGCCUUAAAGUCAUUGGCAGCCAGUGUUUUGGUUUUGAAGCGCAGCACAAGUCGCGAUUCAAGGCUAUCCGCCCGCUUCCACAAGCCUUUUUCACUUUUGACCUCGAAUCAGGUAGGGAUACCCGCUGAACUUAAGCAUAUCAAUAAGCGGAGGA
rnacentral:misc_RNA from 1 species